AGAGUUUUCGAGUCCUGGGCUCAGGAUGAACGCUGCGGCGUGCUUAACACAUGCAAGUCGAACGAAGCGCUUAAGAACGAUUCUUCGGAUGAAGUCUUUUGUGACUGAGUGGCGGACGGGUGAGUAACGCGUGGGUAACCUGCCUCACACAGGGGGAUAACAGUUGGAAACGACCGCUAAUACCGCAUAACCCGCUGGUAUCGCAUGAUACUGACGGAAAAGAUUUAUCGGUGUGAGAUGGACCCGCGUCUGAUUAGCCAGUUGGCAGGGUAACGGCCUACCAAAGCGACGAUCAGUAGCCGGCCUGAGAGGGUGAACGGCCACAUUGGGACUGAGACACGGCCAAACCCUACGGGAGGCAGCAGUGGGGAAUAUUGCACAAUGGGGGAAACCCUGAUGCAGCGACGCCGCGUGAGUGAAGAAGUAUUUCGGUAUGUAAAGCUCUAUCAGCAGGGAAGAAAAUGACGGUACCUGACCAAGAAGCCCCGGCUAACUACGUG
rnacentral:rRNA from 1 species